rnacentral:lncRNA from 1 species
UGAAAGAUGAAGAGGUCAUGCGUACUAAGAAAUGUUGAUCGAGAGGAGAAAUAAAAUCUUCUCAAACUUAUGAGUGACCAACCAACAACUGGGUGCUAUCUUUGUAAAAUCAAAAAAUGUCAAAGAUCUUAAUGCUACGAUUCUCUUGAUCUACAUCUUCAAGACCACGACUGAUUGAUGAAAGGCCAACAAGAGCAUUAAGCUGUCAGGAGCAAAAGUAAAGCCAUGCACAUCAAUACCUAAACUCAGUAUAUCUUCAAUAAAUGACUGUUUUGUAACUGACUGUAAAAAGGUACGGUUCCUCACUAUUAUAAAUGUACAUCAUUAUUGCAUCUUCUUAUGAACUAUAACAGUAUUCUAUCAAGGAGUCAUAAUCUACCUAAAAAGGUGAAGAGAGAAAGUAACAUGAGGAUGGAAACUCAAAUGACUACAAAUUUUCUCUCCAUCCAAGUUUUAGGUUGAAGAUGAUAUCUUGAAGGAAGGCUGAAAUGGGUCAUAAGAGCAUCACAGACCUAAUGAAUGUUAUGUGAAGUAAUCUUUGCUGAUGGGUUAGUAUGUAUGUACAAGCCUAUGUUCUAAGUGUUUGACAACACACAGAGCAUGAUCAGUUCUGCAAGAGGAUCUUGCUGAUUUGUAGAAACUGAU